rnacentral:rRNA from 1 species
UACGUAGGGUGCAAGCGUUGUCCGGAAUUAUUGGGCGUAAAGAGCUCGUAGGCGGUUUGUCGCGUCUGCUGUGAAAACGCGAGGCUCAACCUCGCGCCUGCAGUGGGUACGGGCAGACUAGAGUGCGGUAGGGGAGAUUGGAAUUCCUGGUGUAGCGGUGGAAUGCGCAGAUAUCAGGAGGAACACCGAUGGCGAAGGCAGAUCUCUGGGCCGUAACUGACACUGAGAGACGAAAGCUAGGGGAGCGAAUGGG